rnacentral:lncRNA from 1 species
CUCGCGCCGCACUUGAUGAAGAAGACGCGGCCAUCCCGGCACACCCCGUAGGACCAAUGCUCAGUUCCAACAUGUCAGCUGGAUGAGAGAAGGGGCUUUGAUCUACCUCAUACACUGCCUGGUCUCCAAUGCCUGGAACAGCACCUGACUCAUGCCAAAGGUGUCCAAACUAUACAGACCCACAGAAUCUAACAACAGAUGUCUCAAUAUUCCUCGUCCUAGAACUCUCAGAGGAUCCAGAACUACAGCCGGUCCUCGCUGGGCUGUUCCUGUCCAUGUGCCUGGUCAUGGUGCUGGGGAACCUGCUCAUCAUCCUGGCCGUCAGCCCUGACUCCCACCUCCACACCCCCAUGUACUUCUUCCUCUCCAACCUGUCCUUGCCUGACAUCGGUUUCACCUCCACCAUGGUCCCCAAGAUGAUUGUGGACAUCCAAUCUCACAGCAGUCAUCUCCUAUGCGGGCUGCCUGACUCAGAUGUCUCUUUUUGCCAUUUUUGGAGGCAUGGAAGAAAGACAUGCUCCUGAGUGUGAUGGCCCUAUGACCGGUUUGUAGCCAUCUGUCACCCUCUAUAUUAUUCAGCCAUCAUGAACCCAUGUUUCUGUGGCUUUCUAGUUCUGUUGUCUUGUUGUCUCAGUCUUUUAGACUCCCAGCUGCACAAUUUGAUUGCCUUGCAAAUUACCUGCUUCAAGGAUGUGGAAAUUCCUAAUUUCUUCUGUGACCCUUCUCAACUCCCCCACCAUGCGUGUUGUGACACCUUCACCAAUAACAUAGUCAUGUAUUUCCCUGCUGC